GGUGAAGAACGCAGCGAAAUGCGAUAAGUAAUGUGAAUUGCAGAAUCCAGUGAAUCAUCGAAUCUUUGAACGCACAUUGCGCCCGCCAGCAUUCUGGCGGGCAUGCCUGUUCGAGCGUCAUUUCAACCCUCGACCUCCCUUUGGGGAAGUCGGCGUUGGGGACCGGCAGCACACCGCCGGCCCUGAAAUGGAGUGGCGGCCCGUCCGCGGCGACCUCUGCGUAGUAAACCAACUCGCACCGGAACCCCGACGUGGCCACGCCGUAAAACACCCAACUUCUGAACGUUGACCUCGAAUCAGGUAGGACUACCCGCUGAACUUAAGCAUAUCAAUAAGCGGAGGA
rnacentral:misc_RNA from 1 species